rnacentral:rRNA from 1 species
GACGAACGCUGGCGGCGUGCUUAACACAUGCAAGUCGAACGGAAAGGCCCUGCUUUUGUGGGGUGCUCGAGUGGCGAACGGGUGAGUAACACGUGAGUAACCUGCCCUUGACUUUGGGAUAACUUCAGGAAACUGGGGCUAAUACCGGAUAGGAGCUCCUGCUGCAUGGUGGGGGUUGGAAAGUGUCGGCGGUGGGGGCUGGACUCGCGGCUUAUCAGCUUGUUGGUGGGGUAGUGGCUGACCACGGCUUUGACGGGUAGCCGGCCUGAGAGGGUGAACGGCGACAUUGGGACUGAGAUACGGCCCAGACUCCUACGGGAGGCAGCAGUGGGGAAUAUUGCACAAUGGGCGGAAGCCUGAUGCAGCAACGCCGCGUGCGGGAUGACGGCCUUCGGGUUGUAAACCGCUUUCGCCUGUGACGAAGCGUGAGUGACGGUAAUGGGUAAAGAAGCACCGGCUAACUACGUG